GUAGUCCUUGCCGUAAACGAUGCAUACUUGGUGUAGUUGGACUCAACCCCGACUGUGCCGAAGCUAACGCGUUAAGUAUGCCGCCUGGGAAGUACGCUCGCAAGGGUGAAACUCAAAAGAAUUGACGGGGACCCGCACAAGCAGUGGAGCAUGUGGUUUAAUUCGAUGCAACGCGAAGAACCUUACCUAGGCUUGACAUAUAGAUGACGAUAUCAGAGAUGAUAUUUCCCUUCGGGGCAUUUAUACAGGUGCUGCAUGGCUGUCGUCAGCUCGUGCCGUGAGGUGUUGGGUUAAGUCCCGCAACGAGCGCAACCCUUAUCAUUAGUUGCCAACAGUUCGGCUGGGGACUCUAAUGAGACUGCCUGGGUUAACCAGGA
rnacentral:rRNA from 1 species